rnacentral:rRNA from 1 species
GACGAACGCUGGCGGCGUGCUUAACACAUGCAAGUCGAACGGUAAGGCCCUGCUUUUGUGGGGUGCUCGAGUGGCGAACGGGUGUGUAACACGUGAGUAACCUGCCCUUGACUCUGGGAUAUCUUCAGGAAACUGGGGCUAUUACCGGAUAUGCGCUCCUGCUGCAUGGUGGGGGUUGGAAAGUUUCGUUGGUUGGGGAUGGACUCGCGGCUUAUCAGCUUGUUGGUGGGGUAGUGGCUUACCAAGGCUUUGACGGGUAGCCGGCCUGAGAGGGUGACCGGCCACAUUGGGACUGAGAUACGGCCCAGACUCCUACGGGAGGCAGCAGUGGGGAAUAUUGCACAAUGGGCGGAAGCCUGAUGCAGCAACGCCGCGUGCGGGAUGACGGCCUUCGGGUUGUAAACCGCUUUCGGCUGGGACGAAGCGUGAGUGACGGUAAUGGGUAAAGAAGCACCGGCUAACUACGUG